GCUGACCACGGGCUUUGGGGAAAAAAGAGGAGGGUUUGGGGGAAGGGAGUCCUAGCCAGGAUUUUUCCAAACUGAGCCGGGGGUUCCUUAAAGCAUGGCACUCCUUUCCCUCGUAUAAAUUAAAGACACCGCUUCUCGCAGCAACUGAAGAACGCAAGUUAGUACCGUCCCCCAGGCACAUUCAUUGGUUCCGAGGGUCCCUCCAUAGAGCAGGUGGGUGGGCUACUCAGGGCUGGACGGCAGGGUGGUGGGAGGACUAGGAGCCAGGGGGCUCUGGAGAUGCUCAGCCUUCCUUGAGCUGCACGUUCUUCCCCCUUUCAAUCCUUCCAGGUUUAUAGAAAGCUGGCUGUGUGGAUGUGGGGGGAGGGUUCCUGGUUGCCCCCUGCGGUACCGCCAAAGCCUUUCAUGGAUCCUACCAGGUGCUGCGGAGAUAUUUCAAAGUGGGAAACUGACGUGUGGAGAAGCCGAACCUCCCCCAUUCUCCCAUCCUGAUCCAGCCGAUGGGCCUGACCAUCCGUAUUUAAGGCCCAAGGUCUACAGCCACGGAACCCUGGGUGUGAAGGAGGAAUGAAGUUAGCCCGCCUACUGUCUCCACCCCUGAAGUCUAGGGCUGGAUUUGGCCCCAGUUCCAGGCUAUGAGAAUCCCUGCCCAGUCCUGAAAUGAUGGUUGCCCACAGAAGCAGGUGGAGGGUGGUGGGUGCCAUAGAGGUAAACCCCGGUUACCCGGUCAGCCUGGAAGUCUGGCGUCUCUGUGCGUGCUCAGUCACUCAGUCCUGUUCGACUCUUUGCAACCCCAUGGACUGUAGACUGUGUCCGUGGAAUUUUCCAGGCAAGAAUACUGGAGUGGGUUGUCAUUCCCUUCUCCAGGGUAUCUUCCCGAGCCAGGGGUCCAACUCACAUCUCUAGCAUCUCCUGCACUGGCAGGUGGAUUCUUUACCUCUGUACCACCUGGGGAGUCUCUGCUUUUCCCUAAAUUCAAGCUUCUGGGAAGGGAUUUUUAGAGGACGGGUUUAUUCACUUGCAGAUGUUCCUUUUAGGGUUUCUUAGAUUUUUAUAGCUCCCCUCUAAGCCUGCCCCAAGUUUUGUCUAUUUGUCACCCCAACCCUUUCCAUUGCUACUUCCACGCUGUUUCUC
ensembl:lncRNA